ACGGGUGAGUAACACGUGGAUAACCUACCUAUAAGACUGGGAUAACUUCGGGAAACCGGAGCUAAUACCGGAUAACAUAUUGAACCGCAUGGUUCAAUAGUGAAAGGCGGCUUUGCUGUCACUUAUAGAUGGAUCCGCGCCGUAUUAGCUAGUUGGUAAGGUAACGGCUUACCAAGGCAACGAUACGUAGCCGACCUGAGAGGGUGAUCGGCCACACUGGAACUGAGACACGGUCCAGACUCCUACGGGAGGCAGCAGUAGGGAAUCUUCCGCAAUGGGCGAAAGCCUGACGGAGCAACGCCGCGUGAGUGAUGAAGGUCUUCGGAUCGUAAAACUCUGUUAUCGGGGAAGAACAAAUGUGUAAGUAACUGUGCACAUCUUGACGGUACCUGAUCAGAAAGCCACGGCUAACUACGUGCCAGCAGCCGCGGUAAUACGUAGGUGGCAAGCGUUAUCCGGAAUUAUUGGGCGUAAAGCGCGCGUAGGCGGUUUUUUAAGUCUGAUGUGAAAGCCCACGGCUCAACCGUGGAGGGUCAUUGGAAACUGGAAAACUUGAGUGCAGAAGAGGAGAGUGGAAUUC
rnacentral:rRNA from 1 species